UCAUGCACAGACUGCCCUUUCCAGUUCUUGUCCCCAUAUUUCCAGACAGGUUAAACUUCUUGCACUGCCUUGACCAGUCAGUAAGCUUCCAUCAACCCCUUCUCAUACUGCCUACAUGUCCCACACCCUUGAUUAUCAGGCUUCUCACCUUUUAAAUUCCUCCAUUAUGACUUUACAAAUUCAGCCUUGAUCUCUACCUUGGCCCUUCACCCAGCCAGAAUUAACAGUCCUGCUUUCAUGCCUUUGCUUGCCACCCAGCUUAGCCUCUUAUCUCAGCUUCUGAAACAUUCUUCAACCUCUACCAGUCUUCUGAAGGUGGCAGCUGUUAAUACAGAACUUGAUGAGGAAGAUGCCAGCAUCUCACCUGGAAUUCACAAAACCCUAGCCAGCCCUAACUCACAAGGGCCUGCACACCCUUUAAUCCAGCAAAAUUAACUCAAGAGCAUGUGGGACCUGAAAUCCAGUCUCUGCAUAUUAUUGCAAGUGCUUCAAGCAAAGAAAAGAACCUGAUUUCACAUUUGAGAUGCAUUUUAAACCAAAGGUCUGUUCUGGUACCUCCACAAGGAAGCAUCAAUCGGACCACAGAAAAUUUACAUCCAGGGAUUUGUCUUCUGGAAUGGAUCUCACUGACCUACAAGAAUUGAAUUUGCCCGUGUCUUCACAACACCUUGUUAGUGGUAUCAAAUCAGGAGAUUGAAGUGAGCCAUAGUGAGAGUAUGGACACCACAGAAAUCAACUUACAUAUCAAGGCUUUUUCUUUAUUUCAGGAGAGCCAGUUCAAUAGUACAACACUUUUAUGAUCUUCCCUCUUUUGCUCAC
rnacentral:lncRNA from 1 species